rnacentral:rRNA from 2 species
AACGCGAAGAACGUUACCUACUCUUGACAUCCAGAGAACUUAGCAGAGAUGCUUUGGUGCCUUCGGGAACUCUGAGACAGGUGCUGCAUGGCUGUCGUCAGCUCGUGUUGUGAAAUGUUGGGUUAAGUCCCGCAACGAGCGCAACCCUUAUCCUUUGUUGCCAGCGGUCCGGCCGGGAACUCAAAGGAGACUGCCAGUGAUAAACUGGAGGAAGGUGGGGAUGACGUCAAGUCAUCAUGGCCCUUACGAGUAGGGCUACACACGUGCUACAAUGGCGCAUACAAAGAGAAGCGAACUCGCGAGAGCAAGCGGACCUCAUAAAGUGCGUCGUAGUCCGGAUUGGAGUCUGCAACUCGACUCCAUGAAGUCGGAAUCGCUAGUAAUCGUAGAUCAGAAUGCUACGGUGAAUACGUUCCCGGGUCUUGUACACACCG